GACUAAAGCUUCAUUGGUUACCCAAGUGCCUUCCUUCCUGGCAAGAGAUCCUUCCUUCUUUCCUCCCUUCCCUUCUUCCCUCUCUGCCACCAACUUUUCUUUCUUUACAUUUUUGACUUUUUCGGGAGGAGGGAAGAGAAAGCAACAGAGGAGCCCUUGGAAAGUCUCCCCAGGACAUAGCAUCUCAGGAGUGUUUCCAAGGUGGGCUGGUGGGGUGUAGGGGAGGCAGCACAGGUGAUGACAGUUCAGCUGCUCUGCCCGGAGAACAGAAUUCUCUUUCCCUGCUGCUCUGCAAUUCCCUUUGGCUGUACUGAUUGAAGUCGCCUCAGAAAGCUACAAUCUGAUCCUUGUCUCCAGGCUUGUCCCAGGCUCUGGCACUGAACACAGUCUUCAAGUGUUGCCCCUUGAGCAGCAAAAUGGGCUUAUUGUCGAGUUGUCCCCUUGUGCCCUUACAAAUGCCCUUCUGGGGACCUUCUCUUGGCCAGUGUCUACUGUGGCCAAGUCCCUUUGCUUACUGCCAGCUAGAACUGGUGUUAAUUUUUUAAAGUUUAGAUGCUUUUCAUAGCUUUGCCUCCACUUUUUAACCAGCCUGGGUUUCUUUCCACCAGGAAGUCCAGUGGACUUGCCAAAGUGCACACACUUAGUGAGGAGCAGAACAGCUGUAAAUACUUAUAUAUGCACCGGUUGUUGGAACCCAGGCUGUGUCUCAAUGAAGAUAAUGAAUCAAUUAUUGAAAGUAAACCAGCAAAUGGGAUUUUACACAGGCACUGCAUUAUAGAUUCGUGGGAGUAGACAUACAUGCUCAGCACUCCACUCAUUCAGCAUAUAUCUGGGAGGACAUAACCAUCACUUCCCUCAAAAGGAUCCCAUGCUGGCGAGGAGAGAUGGACAGGGAAACGCACAUACACGGCACUCUGGAGACAUGAAUCAGAAGAAUCACAGACACCUUCCCAAAAGAGGUGACUUACAGGCUGUGGGCCCCCGGAACUCAGGAGUCUGCUGAAAAUCCCAUUUCUCGGUCAACAACCCAGAUGUUUGGACUGUAUGUCUGCACACACGUAGGCGUUUGGAAACGCCCGGAUUUCUGGUGAUUAGAUCCAAAUGCCCAACAGCACUUGGAGAAAGGAGAGUAAGCAUGUACCUUGUAAAUAAUGCAGGCAUGUAUCGUG
rnacentral:lncRNA from 1 species